AGAUUGAACGCUGGCGGCAGGCCUAACACAUGCAAGUCGAGCGGCAGCACGGGUACUUGUACCUGGUGGCGAGCGGCGGACGGGUGAGUAAUGCCUAGGAAUCUGCCUGGUAGUGGGGGAUAACGCUCGGAAACGGACGCUAAUACCGCAUACGUCCUACGGGAGAAAGCAGGGGACCUUCGGGCCUUGCGCUAUCAGAUGAGCCUAGGUCGGAUUAGCUAGUUGGUGAGGUAAUGGCUCACCAAGGCGACGAUCCGUAACUGGUCUGAGAGGAUGAUCAGUCACACUGGAACUGAGACACGGUCCAGACUCCUACGGGAGCAGCAGUGGGGAAUAGUUGGACAAGUGGGACGAAAGCC
rnacentral:rRNA from 1 species